rfam:Asian citrus Psyllid, Diaphorina citri - Florida Strain, whole genome shotgun sequence.
GCCUGCGGUUAUAACACGUUGAUUACCUACAUCAGUUCCCAAUGGAUCACUGAACUUGAGCAACGUUUUGCGUGGUUGGUACGAGGAUGGAUGACCAUCUGGACAAUCGCGUGCUGCAGACC